GGCUUAUGGAGGGUAUAAAACACAUCUAACUGGUUUAUGGAGUGUAUAAAACACGUCUAACAGGCUUAUGGAGGGUAUAAAACACGUCUAACAGGCUUAUGGAGGGUAUAAGUAUCUUGGUCUUUUCAAAAUGUUUCAUUGUCUCCUUUGCUAAUGUCCUAUUGUUUAGACACAUGAUACAGAUUAUGUACCCCUCCAAAAGAACCUGUGUAUAAAACACAUCUAACAGGCUGAUGGAGUGUAUAAAACACAGCUAACAGGCUUAUUGUCAUGAAAAUAUAGUAACCUAACUCUCUGCCCAUCCUUUGCUGUUUGUGUUCUUGCACCUAUCCAGAAAAUCCCUCCCACUCACAUCGUAUAAAAGAUCAACUAACCUACUGUUGAUUGCUUAGAAUUCUGUCUCUCUUACGCAACGGACCUACUCAGGAUUCACUCUCCUCAGCAGCUGUUGCACCUGACACAGGAUCUCUGCUCAAACGAACCGGCUGUGACGUCACACGCCACCGGAACUUUCACUUGCUAACCGCAAUCUUCCCUACAAGCGCUAACAGGCAACGGACCUCACCGGACACCAACAAAAGUUCUAUCUAAAAGGACUUGAACCUCUCUUUACUUGUUACCAACUAAUCAUGAAGACUUAUUGAGAAGUGGUUUCAUCCCUCUUCAUUCGUCUCUACAAUCAAUCCCUUCAAAUCCUCAGAAGUUCUUCUCCAAGUUCAAAGAAUCCUGGUUUUCUGCUUCAUCUCAAAGUUUUGGAUUUAAAAGAAGUUUCCUCAUGUCCUUUUGGAUUGCUAUUUUUCUGUUGGUUCUCGUUUUCAUGUUGGAACUGGUUUCUGUUAUUUGUAAUCUCUGGAUCUUCAGCUUCAAGCAAGAAAGAGGAAGUUGGGGCUCGUAUUGGACAGUUUAUGGGAGCUAUGAUACAUCCUAUUGGUCCAUUUUUUCUGUUUUCACUAAAGUACCCAUUUCAUUGGCUACUUAUGUUCUACAUGUUUUAUCUGUAUUGUUUUAAUGUUUUAUUCACUUCUGUAUCAUUACUUUAAAAGGCUGCAUUAAGUAGUAUAAAGAAAGAUAUGCAAAA